UUACUACUUCCUUCGUCCGGAAUUACUUGUCAUCAAAAUAAAAAAUAAAUAUAUCUAUAACUAAAAUAUGUCUAGAUAUAUCCAUUUUUAUAACAAGUAAUUUCGUACGAAGGUAGUAUUAU
rfam:Hordeum vulgare subsp. vulgare, WGS project CAJW01000000 data, contig: morex_contig_49507